rnacentral:rRNA from 1 species
AGUGAACGCUGGCGGUAGGCCUAACACAUGCAAGUCGAACGGCAGCACAGUAAGAGCUUGCUCUUACGGGUGGCGAGUGGCGGACGGGUGAGGAAUACAUCGGAAUCUACUUUUUCGUGGGGGAUAACGUAGGGAAACUUACGCUAAUACCGCAUACGACCUACGGGUGAAAGCAGGGGAUCUUCGGACCUUGCGCGAUUGAAUGAGCCGAUGUCGGAUUAGCUAGUUGGCGGGGUAAAGGCCCACCCAGGCGACGAUCCGUAGCUGGUCUGAGAGGAUGAUCAGCCACACUGGAGCUGAGACACGGUCCAGACUCCUACGGGAGGCAGCAGUGGGGAAUAUUGGACAAUGGGCGCAAGCCUGGUCCAGCCAUACCGCGUGGGUGAAGAAGGCCUUCGGGUUGUAAAGCCCUUUUGUUGGGAAAGAAAAGCAGCAGGUUAAUACCCCGCUGUUCUGACGGUACCCAAAGAAUAAGCACCGGCUAACUUCGUG